CUGCUGCCUUCCGUAGGAGUCUGGACCGUGUCUCAGUUCCAGUGUGGCUGGUCAUCCUCUCAGACCAGCUAGGGAUCGUCGCCUAGGUGAGCCGUUACCCCACCUACUAGCUAAUCCCAUCUGGGCACAUCCGAUGGCAAGAGGCCCGAAGGUCCCCCUCUUUGGUCUUGCGACGUUAUGCGGUAUUAGCUACCGUUUCCAGUAGUUAUCCCCCUCCAUCAGGCAGUUUCCCAGACAUUACUCACCCGUCCG
rnacentral:rRNA from 1 species